GACAGAGGGGGCAGCGUUGCUCGGAAUUACUGGGCGUAAAGGGCGCGUAGGCGGGAUGGCAAGUCGGUCGUGAAAUCCCUCGGCUCAACCGAGGAACGUCGAUCGAUACUGCUGUUCUUGAGGAUUGCAGAGGAGACUGGAAUUCCCGGUGUAGCGGUGAAAUGUGUAGAGAUCGGAGACACCGGUGGCGAAGGCGGGUCUGCUGGGC
rnacentral:rRNA from 1 species